GAGCUCUCAAUCCGCAAGAGAGACCUGGCGACCCGAUCAUGUGACCCGGCCACAACUCCGGCGUCCGGUCACCCCACGACGGCGAACUGGCACCGUUCUCUUCGUCUUGUCGUCACCGUCACGGUACUGUCCCUAUCUUGAUCGUUCGUCGACUGUGGAGGUCGAAUCGACGCCGAGAAGACCAGACUGCUCCGGUGAUUUCGUGGCAAUUUCCGGCGACUCCGGUCACCGAUUUGUCUGCAUGUGUGCACGGCGGCUUUUCCAAUGCUUCUUGGGCUGACGUUGAUGAUGUUCCUGGUCCUAGAACUUAGAGUGAGGCUUGAUCUUGUUGAAAAGCAGAAGUUGUAUCUAAUUGGAACGAAGAAGAAGAAUCUCGUCGUGGUAGUUUUCAUCUCUGCUGUACUUUUCCCUGCAAGACAGGAUUUGCUUGAAUGAAUAAUCUGCCUUCUAUUUGGUUGGAGAGGUGAGCUGCAUGUCAUUCACGUAACCUUUGGAAUAUAUCAAUUGUGUUGUAGUUGAUUUGUUGGGAGCACACGAGUAGUGUACGUGGAAUCCUGCAUUACUUGGUGUGUGUUUAGAUUGGGUUGUUGCUUUCUGAUUAGAAUUAAAGGUGGUCUAUCUUGAUUGUUAAUUGGACAUGUGAGGUUGAAUUGUACGUGGUGGUUUCCUUUUGCUUGACUAUUGGUCAUGGAAAAUUAACCAGGGCAUGCUAUGAUAUUUUGGA